ACAGGAGAAGAAUGGGCUGGGUGAGAGGACAAACAGGAGAACAAAAAAGGAAAGAAAAGCAAAGAAAAGCCCUCCCCGGGUCCAGCGGGAUCAGGCCUGGAGGACUGUGGCUCGGCCCCGAGGCCAGAUGCCCAGGAGUAGUGCUGCAUCCACAGGGCGGGAGAGGGACAGGACAGGUGACACCCGGCUGCGGACCCCCCAAGGGGUCCGACGGCCUCUGUUGGCUAAGAGCCCUCCAGUGAUCAAGAGGUAGGGGAGGGAAGAGGCUGGAGGCGCAGGCGUCCUGGAGGUAUCCCCAGGACCCGGCGCUGCUCUAAUGGGCCUGUCUCCCUGGCCCAUCCGGGUACCCAGAAUUGGGGUGGUCCUGAGUGGGAUCCGUGUCCCGAAGCAGCCUGCGCGCCCGAGCUGGCGAGCGGGCAGGCGACCUUGGGAGCCGCCGGCCUGCCAGAUGCUCAGCUAUGAUUGUUCUAGUGGACCUCUGUCAUGUCUACUCUCCUCUACAUCUCCUCUUCCCAAACCCCUGUCUUUCCUUCAGGCUUUGAAGAUACCCCAUUACCACCUUCUAGGAGGGUGAGUCUUCUGGAAGACCACGCCCUCGCUUUAAAGAUAGAAAGAUGGAGGUACAUGGGCAUAAUGGCUCUCCUGUGAUUCUACGGCCAGUCAACGAUAGCACCAACAUUAGAAGGCAUGUCUAUGCCACACCGCCUUUAAUGACAAUACGGACCCAGAUACUCCCCCAAAAGAGCCAACGAGAAAGUAAAGUUUUCCAGC
rnacentral:lncRNA from 1 species